CAGUACUGUUCCAUGUUCGGAGAGCUUGAAGUGAGGAAGUGAUAGUAGUAGGGAACCUUUCACUUCAAACUCUCUGAACAUGGAGCAGUGCUG
rnacentral:pre_miRNA from 1 species